CCUACGGGAGGCAGCAGUAGGGAAUCUUCCACAAUGGACGCAAGUCUGAUGGAGCAACGCCGCGUGAGUGAGGACGGGUUUCGGCUCGUAAAGCUCUGUUGGUCGUGAAGAAAGAUAGAGGUAGUAACUGGCCUUUAUUUGACGGUAAUUACUUAGAAAGUCACGGCUAACUACGUGCCAGCAGCCGCGGUAAUACGUAGGUGGCAAGCGUUGUCCGGAUUUAUUGGGCGUAAAGCGAGUGCAGGGGGUUCAAUAAGUCUGAUGGGAAAGCCUUGGGCUCAACCGGAGAAUUGCAUCAGAAACUGGUGAACUUGAGUGCAGAAGAGGAGAGUGGAAAGCGAUGUGUAGCGGUGGAAGGCGUAGAUAUAUGGAAGAACACCAGUGGCGAAGGCGGCUCUCUGGUCUGCAACUGACGCUGAGGCUCGAAAGCAUGGGUAGCGAACAGGAUUAGAUACCCGGGUAGUC
rnacentral:rRNA from 1 species